rnacentral:lncRNA from 1 species
GAAAACUAGGGGCUUUGCUGGAUCACUCAGCAGGGAGGAUGUGGGCCUGGAGCUUCUAGGGACCACCAUGUGGAGGGCACCCAUGAGAGAGAAGGCAGCACGGAGGUUGUGAUAUAGAAAGUAUUGCUGACUUUAUUUUUGGAUGAGGAAACUGCGACUUGGAGCCACGAGAUGACUCGCCCCGGCCUUUGAGGUGAUGCGACCUUGUAGCUGAGGGCUGAUGCCCAACCAGGCACCGAGCGGGAGACUUGAGAAACCUCAGCAACAGCAGACAUGAAGAAGAAAGCCUUGAAGCUGCGGGGAAACCGCAGCGCUCCUGCUUGCUCUUUGCCACCGGGGCAGGUGGGAGGGGGGCGGGCCGAAGCAUCAGCCAGCCCCAGCUCCGUCCAAACCUGUUCUCCUCUCCCCUGUUGCCCAGUCACUUUAGUGGGCUCCCACCCACCCCUCACCGGCCCUGUGGGCCCACCCAGAGGCAAGUGAUGGGGAAGAACACCAUGACCACCGUCAUAAAAUGGCUGGGACUCAAGUCUUCAACUGACUAAAAAUUUCCAGUUUGGACUGAAUUUCCCUGAACGUGUCUCAAUUAUAUUGUCAGAGGCGGUGAGGAGAAAGAGUCAAGAAAAUUGUGUUUGGUCAAAAAAUACACUUAUCCUGUUUCUUCUCCUCCUGGGUUCUGUAGACAGUCCUACUUGCUCCGUGCACAAGCACCUUGUUCACGACCCUGAGGUGACCACAGCAGGAAGAGAGCACUGGCCAAAUGUUGACAGGAAGGCUGACACUUGAAGGGAUUGCAGCGGCUUAUUUGCAUUUCAACCACACUCUUACAGCAUUGACUGUGGGCCAGCCCUGUCUUAAGUGCCUGAUAAAUAUCAGUUCAAUUAAUCCUC